UACGUAGGGUGCGAGCGUUAAUCGGAAUUACUGGGCGUAAAGCGUGCGCAGGCGGUUGUGUAAGACAGGUGUGAAAUCCCCGGGCUUAACCUGGGAAUUGCAUUUGUGACUGCACGGCUAGAGUUUGGCAGAGGGGGGUAGAAUUCCACGUGUAGCAGUGAAAUGCGUAGAUAUGUGGAGGAAUACCGAUGGCGAAGGCAGCCCCCUGGGUCAAGACUGACGCUCAUGCACGAAAGCGUGGGGAGCAAACAGGAUUAGAAACCCCCGUAGUCC
rnacentral:rRNA from 1 species